CCGGGUCUCACUAUGUAGACCAAGCUGGCCUCAAACUCACAGAGCUCUGCCUGCCUCUGUCUCCUGAGUGCUGGGGU
ensembl:miRNA Gm24269 predicted gene, 24269